UGUUUGAUUAGGGAGACGUGGACACUGUGCAUGCUGGGAGCUUCAGGACCAGGCUUGAGAAAAACUACACAACACUAACUGCAUAUCAGCCCUAGUUUCUGCAGUUAAUUCAGUUUCAAAAAGAUUUGAAUGUUUACACUAUCUGUUUGCAUUCAGCUCAGUGGCUCAGUUGAACACAUGUGAGAUGAAAUUUGCCAGAUUUCUGAAGGUGACCAUCCUGACCAUCUAACAUGCCGAGCAUCAGUCCCAUAAAGAGCGUAAUGAUGGCAAAAAUCACAUAAGAGCCCCAAGAAGGGAUACCGAGAGUAUUCAUCAGAAAAGGUUGUAUUUACAGAAGAGAGGAUGGCGACCUCCAUCCUGGCACCGGCUCAACCAUCGCCCACUUUUUC